AAUUGGCCUGAUCGAAGCUAUGAUUGUUCGAUUGUGAUUGUCGUAGUCAUAUCUAGGCCGAGAGUGAAUCCUUUACAAUGGUCACUCAUUGAAUUAUCGCAUAUUCUCUGAGUAUUACCCAAGGAGGAUACAUUA